CACUACCACUCAAUUAAGACACUUUUGAUCUCUCUUCCCCUCUCUCUCUCUCUCUCUCUCUCUCUCUCUCUCUCUCUGUCACUUGGUUAUCAAUUAUACAUUAUCAUCAACUCACACCUCUGAGUUCAGAUCAGAUCACACCACUCACAACUCACUCCAAUGGCUGAAAAGGUAACAAUAAUGGUGCUGAAGGUUGAUCUUCAGUGCCCUAGCUGCUACAAGAAGGUCAAGAAAGUACUCUGUAAAUUUCCUCAAAUACGAAACCAGGUAUAUGAUGAAAAGCAAAAUACGGUGACCAUCACUGUAGUAUGCUGCAGCCCGGAGAAGAUUCGUGACAAGUUGUGUUGCAAGGGUGGCAAAGCUAUUAAGUGCAUUGAGAUCAAAGAGCCCGAAAAGCCCAAACCGCCACCGCCUGCAGAAAAGCCCAAACGGCCACCGCCUGCAGAAGAGCCUGAGGCGCCCCCCGUCAGAGAAGCUCCCAGACCAAUUGAUGAUGAAACACUGCCACCGCCACCGCCACCGCCUGCAGAAAAGCCCAAACCGCCACCGCCUGCAGAAAAGCCCAAACCGCCACCGCCUGCUCCGGCUCCGGUUCCGACUCCGUGUCCUACACCUGGACCGAUAACAGCCUACCCAAUAGGGGUGUGUUGUGGGUCGUGUUAUGAGGGGCGGCCUGGGGGCCCAUGUUACGAUGGGUACGGAGGAAGGCCACCACCUCCUCCUCCACCAUGUUAUGAUUUCUUUGGAAGGACAGCAGGAUACUGUGAUGGUUAUGGAAGACCAUGUCGGUGUGACUACAACUUUUGUGAAGAAAAUCCAUCAGCAUGCACAAUCAUGUGAAAAGGGCGGUCAUUGUCGUGCUGUUUUUAAUUCCCUUUUGUUAACACAUCCAUUUCUUGGUGUUUUUAUAUCAUGGAGUUUUUACAAGAGGAAAGAAAAUAACAAGAAUAAGGUUGGUGGUGUGGUGUUGGUGCCCAAAUGGUUGUUGACGUCACAUAUUAAGAUAUAUUGCCUGUACCUUAUUAUUCUUUAUUAAUAAAACAAAGUCUUUACUUUA